UGUAGGGUGCGAGCGUUAAUCGGAAUUACUGGGCGUAAAGUGUGCGCAGGCGGCCGAGCAAGUCGAGUGUGAAAGCCCCGAGCUUAACUUGGGAACUGCGCUCGAAACUACUUGGCUGGAGUGUGGCAGAGGAAGGUGGAAUUCCACGUGUAGCGGUGAAAUGCGUAGAGAUGUGGAGGAACACCGAUGGCGAAGGCAGCCUUCUGGGCCAACACUGACGCUCAUGCACGAAAGCGUGGGGAGCAAACAGGAUUAGAUACCCUGGUAGUCCACGCCCUAAACGAUGAUGACUAGUUGUUGGAGGAGUUAAAUCCUUUAGUAACGCAGCUAACGCGUGAAGUCAUCCGCCUGGGGAGUACGGUCGCAAGAUUA
rnacentral:rRNA from 1 species